rnacentral:rRNA from 1 species
GACGAACGCUGGCGGCGUGCCUAAUACAUGCAAGUAGAACGCUGAAGAGAGGAGCUUGCUCUUCUUGGAUGAGUUGCGAACGGGUGAGUAACGCGUAGGUAGCCUGCCUUGUAGCGGGGGAUAACUAUUGGAAACGAUAGCUAAUACCGCAUAACAAUGGAUGACACAUGUCAUUUAUUUGAAAGGGGCAAUUGCUCCACUACAAGAUGGACCUGCGUUGUAUUAGCUAGUAGGUGAGGUAAUGGCUCACCUAGGCGACGAUACAUAGCCGACCUGAGAGGGUGAUCGGCCACACUGGGACUGAGACACGGCCCAGACUCCUACGGGAGGCAGCAGUAGGGAAUCUUCGGCAAUGGGGGCAACCCUGACCGAGCAACGCCGCGUGAGUGAAGAAGGUUUUCGGAUCGUAAAGCUCUGUUGUAAGUCAAGAACGGGUGUGAGAGUGGAAAGUUCACACUGUGACGGUAGCUUACCAGAAAGGGACGGCUAACUACGU